AACUUUUAAAAUGUAUCAUAAGUAAUUUAUAUGUUAUUAAUAAAACAAUAUAUUUAAAACGUAACAUAACUUUUUAUUAAAGUAUAAGAAUUUCUAGAUAUUUUAUUUCUUUUAAAGAUGUAUAUCUAGUUCUUUAUUUUCAUUACGAUUUUACAUUCACAUGUGCAAGUAUAUAUCCCUUUUUAAAGUUAAAAAUACCUGCGUAUCUUGUAUUUUUAUGCUUAUUUUUCUGAUUUGUCAUGAGAUAUAACGAAUUAUGUAAUUAUUUUUCAUUGCCAUAUUUCUUGAUAUAUGCUGUAUUGUAAUCAAAUAUAAAUUACGUCAAUUUUUAUGUUUCAUAUCCUAGUUCUUCAUCUAACAGAGCAACUAAAAAAAAUUAAAUGAAAAAUUGUACUUUACAUUUUACUAUUACGAAAGAACAAAAUAAAGAUUAUUUAUGGUUUGAUUUCCAUAUACGAAAAAGUCUCCGUGAUAUAAAGCUUUUCCGAAGGUGUGAUAUCUACUUAAGCUAUACGAUACCAAAGAUUAAUAUUCUAUCAAUAUUUGAUAAUGUCUAUUGAGAUAACGAUUGAUUGUAUACAAGAUUUUUAAUUUCGAUUUUAAACGGUAACUGUAUACCAGGAGUUUCUUACUUUGUAUUUCAUAAGAUCACACUAAAUUGUAUAACAAUGUACGUGUACGAUACUACAUAAUGUGCAAAGUCACAGAAUGACGCAGCUAUAUUUAGCGUACUGAUAUAAAAGAUAAUAACGCAAUGUAUGUGUAAAUACACUUCUACUAAUCGCUUGA